rnacentral:rRNA from 1 species
AGCGAACGCUGGCGGCAGGCCUAACACAUGCAAGUCGAACGGACUCUUCGGAGUUAGUGGCGGACGGGUGAGUAACACGUGGGAACGUGCCUUUUGGUUCGGAAUAACUCAGGGAAACUUGUGCUAAUACCGAAUGUGCCCUUCGGGGGAAAGAUUUAUCGCCAUUAGAGCGGCCCGCGUCUGAUUAGCUAGUUGGUGAGGUAACGGCUCACCAAGGCGACGAUCAGUAGCUGGUCUGAGAGGAUGACCAGCCACACUGGGACUGAGACACGGCCCAGACUCCUACGGGAAGCAGCAGUGGGGAAUCUUGCGCAAUGGGCGAAAGCCUGACGCAGCCAUGCCGCGUGAAUGAUGAAGGUCUUAGGAUUGUAAAAUUCUUUCACCGGGGACGAUAAUGACGGUACCCGGAGAAGAAGCCCCGGCUAACUUCGUG